GAUGAACGCUAGCGGCAGGCCUAACACAUGCAAGUCGAGGGAGAAGCCCUUUCGGGGGCAGAAACCGGCGCACGGGUGCGUAACGCGUAUGCAACCUACCUUUCACAGGGGGAUAGCCCGAAGAAAUUUGGAUUAAUACCCCAUAAUAUUAUUGGAUGGCAUCAUUUGAUAAUUAAAACUGCGGUGGUGAAAGAUGGGCAUGCGUCCUAUUAGCUAGUUGGAGUGGUAACGGCACCCCAAGGCUACGAUAGGUGGGGGUCCUGAGAGGGAGAUCCCCCACACUGGUACUGAGACAGGGACCAGACUCCUACGGGAGGCAGCAGUGAGGAAUAUUGGUCAAGGGUCGGAAGACUGAACCAGCCAUGCCGCGUGCAGGAAGAAUGCCUUAUGGGUUGUAAACUGCUUUUAUAUGGGAAGAAUAAGGCGUACGUGUACGUUGAUGACGGUACCAUAUGAAUAAGCAUCGGUUAACUCCGUG
rnacentral:rRNA from 1 species